rnacentral:ncRNA from 1 species
AUUCUGGUUGAUCCUGCCAGUAGCUAUAUGCUUGUCUCAAAGAUUAAGCCAUGCAUGUCUAAGUACACACGAAUUAAAAGUGAAACCGCAAAAGGCUCAUUAUAUGGUUAUAUGGUUAUGGUUCCUUAGAUCGUUAACAGUUACGUGGAUAACUGUGGUAAUUCUAGAGCUAAUACAUGCAAUUAAAACAUGAACCUUAUGGGACAUGUGCUUUUAUUAGGCUAAAACCAAGCGAUCGCAAGAUCGUUAUAUUGGUUGAACUCUAGAUAACAUGCAGAUCGUAUGGUCUUGUACCGACGACAGAUCUUUCAAAUGUCUGCCCUAUCAACUUUUGAUGGUAGUAUCUAGGACUACCAUGGUUGCAACGGGUAACGGGGAAUCAGGGUUAGAUUCCCGGAGAGGGAGCCUGAGAAACGGCUACCACAUCUAAGGAAGGCAGCAGGCGCGUAAAUUACCCACUCCCAGCUCGGGGAGGUAGUGACGAAAAAUAACAAUACAGGACUCAUAUCCGAGGCCCUGUAAUUGGAAUGAGUACACUUUAAAUCCUUUAACAAGGACCGAUUGGAGGGCAAGUCUGGUGCCAGCAGCCGCGGUAAUUCCAGCUCCAAUAGCGUAUAUUAAGUUGUUGCGGUUAAAACGUUCGUAGUGAACUUGUGCUUCAUACGGGUAGUACAACUUACAAUUGUGGUUAGUACUAUACCUUGAGGUAGAAAAGCGGCUUACCGGUGGAGUUCUUAUAUGUGAUUAAAUACAAGUAUUUUCUCAUAUGUGCCUCCUAU